rnacentral:rRNA from 1 species
AUGAUGAGGACAGAGCCAAAGCAUUGGGCAAGGUUUUUUUUCCAGGGGUCAAAUUAUGAGUCAGUUGACAAUAAUCUCUGUGAGUCAUUCAACCAUGCCAUUGUUGAUGCUAAAUUCUAUCCAAUUAUUUCUAUGCAAGAGAAGAUUAGGAAGAAAAUAUUGGUGAGAAUUCAAGAACGGAAGGAGAAGGGUGAGAAAAUGACACGGAAAAUAUGCCCUCGCAUCUUUAAAAAGAUCAAGAAAUCGAUUGCUUGGACACAAUAUCUUGAGGUGCUUUGGAAUGGAGAAAAUGGGUUUGAAGUGAAGCAUAUCAACGGAAGGGGAAGACAGUACACUGUUGAUCUUGUAAAAAGGACAUGCUCCUGUGGCUAUUUGGUUGGCCUCCCUUGCCACCAUGCCAUUAGCGCUAUCUACAAGUGUAAGAAGAAAAUUGAAGAUUACAUUCAUCCUUGCUACUCUGUUGAGGUGUUCAAAAAAAUAUGA